CGUAACCCCUCAGUGCAGUAGCUGCAUAUUGGUAGAGAGAAAACACCAAGUUAACUCUCUGGCUUGAUUUGAGCCCCUCACUAACAUGCAUGUGCCCCUGCAAUAUCCUUUCCUCACCGUCUGCUCCUGUCCAUUGCCAAAGUUCUCCUCGAAAUGCCAAACUGGAGUGAACUUGAAGAUUUCAAGACCAAUCAGAACUGAAACCUUCUGCAGAGUAGUUUUAAAGUGACUCGGCUCAAAUGUCUGGAUUUGUAAAAUGGCACUGAGAAAGAUGAUAAUACACUGUUGGCAUUUUGGGAAGAGGUGACCAGCCACUUCUGCUGAAAAAUGAUCUGAGCCUGCUUCUACUGAUGUCAAAACUUGUAUCCCUGAAAAACUUAAAAAGAUUCAAGGCCUGCAGCAUGCUGAAUGCAGCAGUGGCAGAUGUACACCUUUGCAAAAGCAGCUUUCAUUUGUUC